GAGUUGCUGUGAUGAAUCAUGUAACUAUCACAUGUCAGACUUCAGAGAUCUUAAAAGAUCUAUGAGAUUAUAUUCAUGUUUCUGAGCAGAUU